CCAAUAGCGUAUAUUAAAGUUGUUGCGGUUAAAAAGCUCGUAGUUGAAUUUCGGAAUUGAUGCAUCGGUCAUGCCUUAAGGGGCAUGAACUGGUGUAGCCAAUUUCUCAUCUUCUGGUGAAUUGUGAUGUUCUUAAUUGGGUGUCUCAAUGAACUGGAAUUUUUUACUUUGAAAAAAUUAGAGUGUUUAAAGCAGGCAGUGAUUUGCUUGAAUACAUUAGCAUGGAAUAAUGAAAUAGGACGGUGGUUCUGUUUUGUUGGUUUCUAGGAUCACGUAAUGAUUAAUAGGGACAGUUGGGGGCAUUAGUAUUCAAUUGUCAGAGGUGAAAUUCUUGGAUUUAUUGAAGACUAACUAUUGCGAAAGCAUUUGCCAAGGAUGUUUUCAUUAAUCAAGAACGAAAGUUAGGGGAUCAAAGACGAUUAAGUACGUCGUAGUCCUAACCAUAAACUAUGCCGACUAGGAAUCAGACGAUGUUAAUUUUUUAAUGACUCGUUUGGUACCUUACG
rnacentral:rRNA from 1 species